GACGAACGCUGGCGGCGUGCUUAACACAUGCAAGUCGAACGAAGUGGCGAACGGGUGAGUAACGCGUAAUCAACCUGCCCUUCAGAGGGGGACAACAGUUGGAAACGAAUGCUAAUACAGCAUACUGAAGGAGGGGAGUGCGUCUGCUUAGCUAGUUGGAGGGGUGACGGCCCACGAAGGCGAAGAUCAGUAGCCGGUCUGAGAGGAUGAACGGCCACAUUGGGACUGAGACACGGCCCAGACUCCUACGGGAGGCAGCAGUGGGGAAUCUUCCGCAAUGGACGAAAGUCUGACGGAGCAACGCCGCGUGAGUGAUGACGGCCUUCGGGUUGUAAAGCUCUGUUAAUCGGGACGCGGUACCGGAAUAGAAAGCCACGGCUAACUACGUGCCAGCAGCCGCGGUAAUAC
rnacentral:rRNA from 1 species